rnacentral:lncRNA from 1 species
CGCCGCGCGCGCGCACUGGGCGUGAGGUCCGGCCCGGCCGUCUCUCUCGUCCUCCCGCUGUGCACACCUUAGGGGCCUCGUAACCGGUACCGAGUGGGGACCGCUGGACUAGGUCGACAAGGAGGGAGCCCGGGGACAGAGCGCCAAGCACCCUCAGUCUGCCACCCACAGGUGCCCCGGCGCCCCCUACGAGACCCAGCUGGAGCAUGGCGGGGUCAGGCCGCUCCGCCCUCCAUCCAUCCCUUCUCUUCGGUGGCUCGGCAAGAGGGAAGGAACCUGGUAUGCAACACGCUGGGCCGGGGACAUGCCUAUUCCUGAUGAGACGAAGACUUAUGCAGUGCCUCCCUUCAUCCUGGCCGAAAAUGAUCGCAGAACUUUCAACUGUCCUGAGCCCCACCUGGAAGAUGCAGGACCAUCUCCCACCCAGUGGAGCCUUCAUUUUGAAGGAAACCUUAAUUCAUCUCUGCUGGGGGGGAACUGACAUGUCCACAUCUUCUGAGUCCAGGAUAUGGCGUUACGAGGUCCUUAUUCUGAAGACUAUACAGGAAAAUGAAUUUCUAGAAAAACAAAUGGACGAAGGCUUCCUAGUUGUGGCCCACGAUUCUUUGUUGAGAGGACUGAGAGACAUAGCUCACUCUGUCGAGUGGUGGCAAUGUCUCUAAGCACUGUCCUCCUCUGGCCCUGGGCUGGCUGACUCAGGGGGUCAGUUCACCCCAGUUGGAGGAGCAGGGGUAGGGGUUCUGGAGUCAUGGAAGGCUCACUACCCUUUCAAGUAAGGACUACCAGCAAGGAGAUUGUUCUGCUGGCUUCCCUUACUAGAGGAGCCCAAAGGAUGUUCACAUGCAGACAUGCCAUGCACACACAUGUAAAUACCAUGUUCACACCGAGACACACAAAACGCAUGUCCACACUCUCACACAAAUGACACACAUGAACAGAGAUGUGCAUAUACAUACAUGGAGAUACACAUCAAUGACACGUGUGCAUACACAAACACACACACAGACACAAACACAUAUGUGAGAAAUCAUGGCCCUGUCUUUUCUGUCAAGGAUGCAAACAGGAGCUCCUCCACCUUAAACUUUAUUUCACCCUAGGCUACCCUCCUCCACCUCAUGCACCUGGGUUGCAGUUGUUACAACUGAAUACCAGGAACACCUUGUGCGGAGGACAUUCAGUUCCCCCUGCUCUCAAACCCCUUGCCCAGCAACCCUUCAGGCCCUCCCCUCAUCCACCUAGCUUAGCCAUUUGGAGUAGAUUGUGAGCCUUCAAUGCAGCCAAUGGGGAAACGGUCAGCUGCUUCUCAUGCACUAGGACAUACAGAGAGCCUGCUGCUGCCUUUCUGUGUGCUUGCUACCUCACCUUAGUGUUGUAGCUCACCCUUCUGCAGAAGUAAACUUCCUUGUUGAGAUUUCUUGGUGUGUGAGUACUUUAUUUCGGCAUCUACAAAUCGAGUCUAGAGCUUAUUGCCAACAACAUGCACAUGCACAGCUAAUGUACCUACACACAUGAAUACAUGUGCCCAGAGACACAACACAGGCACAAGUUCAUCCAUGGGUACGCACACAUACAGAGACAGACGUGCAUACAUGUGCAGACACACAAGAUCAAUAUUAGCUAAGUGGCUAUACGUGUAAUCCUAUCAGUUGAUUGUAGUCUGACCCAUGUUGUACCCACAUUGUGACUUCGCUGUAUAAACUACCCCCGACAAAGGGUGUCCAUGGCCACCCUCUUGGGACACCUCCUGGAUACCCAGGAGCUAUUCUUUUCCUUAUUUCCAACAAAACGGCCCCCAUUUCCUCCUUUGUUUUGUGCCUUCAUUCCUUGAUGUUGUGAGACCACGAAGUCAGCACAUCUAACAUCUAUCAGGUUGGGAGUUAUUUUCCCCAUACAAAGGGAGAACAAGUGAGAAGUGGAACCAAAGAGCAGUCAGAACUUCAGACAAAGUCCUGUGUCCUCAGCCCUCUGGGCCUGGAACGAGAGAAGAGGGAUUAGGCUCUGUAGGAAGAGGAGGUAGAUUUAGGAACUUCUAAAGGCCAAACUGAUAGGCUGAUGGGGAGCAAGACUGAGGGUGUAGAAUACCAGCAAGGUCUCCAGGGCCCCCCUGAAGGCACAGUGGGAAGACAGGACACAGGAACCAGGGAAAGAUAGCAAGUAACUUGCAGGGCUCAGAGCUGGGGUACACAGCGGAGUGCGGGGUGGGGGUGUUUAGGGCAGGCCUGGACACUGGGUGUGGGGUCUGAAUGUCCACGAUGAAUGGGAAUGUGGGGUGGCUUUGCUCUUGGUGGGAACUGGGGCCUGAGUGUAGACCAGCAAGUCCAGGGUGUGAGUCAGGAGCA